UCGCUCACAGUUAAGCGUACAUGUAUACGUUUUGACUCUGCUGCUCAGCGGCAGCAGAAUGCCAACCACUGCUCUGCGCUAUAGAGUGUGUCUAUGGCUUAACUUCGAGUUAGUCUUAUAAGAGCAUCGUUUGCGAGUGGUUGUUGAUUCUGAUGCAUUUUUAUGUCUAAGCUGCGCAGUCGCCGUACGAUUGCAAUUUUGUCAUAAGAAAAUUGUACACACCAGUUGCAAGAAAUUUUUAACAAAUACAGUAAUAACACAAUACUUUUACCGACUUUAACUUUAACGCGUGUUUAUCUGUCGGUUGCCGCGCGUGAGUAUGUGUGCGUGUUCAAUGAGUGAUCCGAUACAUACAAAUGUAUAGCAAUAUAAUUAACUGUACACUGCCGAAAUUUCAAACUAACCGCAAAAAUGUGGAAGCCUGUUGCAUUAAUUGCCAUUCGGAGCGGGCCGCCAUCUUCGUCCGUCAAUUCAAUGCAAAAUAUAACAAUCUGAGCGUCAAACAUUUCAUUGCUGCCAAGCGACGAACCUAACAGUGCAACUAACUGUAACACCUGCCGCAUUUAAAAUGUUCAAAGUAAAAUUUCAGUUGCCGCGCGCACAAACGACGAGCCCCGGAACACCUUUCAACCCUGUGUACGCUGCGACCCUCUCGCUUACUUCCUUCUUCAUGCUAUUGAAAUGCCAACGCACUGGAAGGCCAAUAAAAAAGUAACGUUUGUUGUGUGUUAUUUACAUAUUUUCAAAAUGAGAGUGCUGCUAUUUGUAGGCACACACACACACACACACACGCACACGCAAACAGACUGAGAGUUUCAACCCCAGCGUGAAAGCCAAGCGCAGUGAAUUGCAACGGCGCAAAAUUCAACCUCGAACUUCUUCGUAGCUGCUGCGCUGCCGUCGCGCGGCUUUCCCAUUUCCAUUUCCUCCUUCCAUCCGCAAUCCAGCGUCAGCGGCCGCAAUGAGUUGAAGCUGGCGGAGCCGUCAAACGUUAAAACUAAUUGAUAUAAUAGUUAAAAUAACAAACUAACGAGAAAGAAGUUGGCUGUAACAACAGCAGCAGCAGCAGCAGCGGCAGCGAAGCCGCAAACAAAGCGAACAAAAAGAGUUUGCCGAGUUGGCUGCGUUGGCGAAGUGUAAAACCUUUCCAAUUUGAAAAUAGCUGUGUGCUCGUUCCCACAAACAACAACAACAACAACCAGAAGAAGAAGAAGAACAACAAGCACUAUGCUUGCAAUUGCAGCGUCAAAUGGGAGAGAAGUGAGCGGUCGCUCGCUCGGUCGAUCGCCGCAAGCAAGAAGAUGACAAUGCAGCGAUUAAAGCAAAGCAGAACAACGCAACUUGAACUCUGAUCAACGAAGUCUCUGAAUCUACUGUUUCAGGCAGCAGCAGCAGCAGCGGUGGCAGUGGCAGCGACAGCGGCAGCUGGAAAAAUGCUUGUUCCAAUGCGCGGCAUUUCCGUUUGCCCGUGAGGAUGAUGCUGCAGCGGCCACUUGUACUAUGUUGUUUACUGACCAUUCGGCCGGACGGGCAAGAAAAGUAAUCACAUUUAUUAAAUCAAAAUAAAAUAUCUGCGCAAUUUAUUAAAGCA